rnacentral:lncRNA from 1 species
GCGGAUUAAUUUGCAAAAAAAAACCACAUUGAGGGUUUUUUUGCAGAAAACCUUUUUUUCACUGAUAUUUUAUUAGAUAGAUUUAAACAUACACAUAAACCGUAAAGACAGGUUUACAACCCCACAACUAAAAAACUAGACAACGAUGCCCACUAAUGGCACAAACUACCACCCGAGACCAAAAGAAAAAAAUUAAAAGUCACCGACACGUGUUAAAUCAAGCCAAGGGAGAGAGACACGGGCUAUACGCGUCACCACCAUCUUCACCGUUUGACCACCGUCGCCGAAUCGACCAAAUCGAACCACCGCCGGAAUCCACCGGGAAACAGAACCACAACCCACGAUUCCACUCCAACAAGUUUCACUUCCUCAAGUUUCUCUUUUUUCCCUCUCAAAAUGCUUCUAUUUAUGGAAUCACAUGUUAUGCACUAUUUUAAUAUCAAAAUGUUUAUAUAUAUGGUGGCCAAAGAAAAAGAGUCCGUGUAUAUGCUUUGCAAAUCAAACGACACUAAUAGUCAAAACCUUUCUCUCUGGCGAUAGAACAUCGACCGCUGCUGAUUGAAGAAGACGACAGGUGGUCUCCGCCGGCCGGCGCGUGGUGGUUUGGUUAGCGCCACCGUCGGUCCGGUAAGUUUAGUUUGCUUAGUAUUUUGUAGAUCUGGUGUUUAAUCCGUCUUAACUGCGGCUCGGGGUAAAGUAGAAGGGAACGACUCGGACACCUCUUGCUUUGUCGGGGUCUUGUGCGGAUCCUUACGGUGGUAGGUGGUUGCAGCCCGUGUGGUUGGUGACAGCGGAGGUCUCUGCUGGUUCGUGGUUCAGAUCCUUUUUGCUUAAUUCGGGUUGGAGAUUCAUAAGGCCUGGGCUUUGUAGUGGUCUUUGCAGUGGUUUUAGGAUGGUGGUGUGGGUCCGACACUGGUGAAGAGAUACAAUUUCUGAUUGCUUGAAGAAUCUCUUGUUUGCGGUUCUUCGGUUAGGGUUUUGCUUUGUUAGUUCUUAUGGGGUUUGGGAUGUGGCUUGACCAGUGGUGGCUCUAGUCUUCGGUGGAGGUAGAAACAUCUUAUGGUUCUCAGAGGAGGUGCGUGUUUGGCUUGGAAGGAGAUAGAUGUAUAUCGGAGCGAUUGCUUCAUUGUGGGUCGAUUGUCGCCGUCUUGAUCGUGAUUGUCAUGGAUUUGGAGUGGUUAUUAUCCAGUUACCGGCUGCGUGAAUAAGACGUUUCCGGGAAACCUUUAUAGGCUUUGCCGUGGGGUGAUGGUGCGUAUGAGGCGCGGGGAGAGCACACUCAAGGUCCAAUGGAGAGACUUAGUUGGGAUUGAAGGGUGUUUACAGCGACGGUUAAGGAUUCUAACCUCUCUCGAUUCAGUUUAUAUGUUUGGUGAUGUUCGUGUGCGUCUAGUCUAUCUCGCUGCUCUGCUAAUUUUGUGUUAAUUGUUGAUGAGUUCUAUUUCGGUAAGCUCGUCUUUGAGCGCAAGGUGGAGCUCUCCUCUACUGAAGUUCUGUUUUACUCUACUGCCUCUUGACAUUUUUUUUUCUUCGUGUCUUUGUUAGUUUUUAUGGGUUUGUGUUGUAUCCAUCUUUUGGCUCCGAGUGGUACAUGUUACCUCGCCGGCUUAUGGCUCUGGAAGGAAUGUAUUCCUUGCCGGCUCUGGUUUGUAAGAAAUGAUGUUUUUGUGUUUAAUAUAAUCUACGGAUGAAAAAAAAAUAUAUAUAUGCAAAAAUAUAUGCUUUGCAAUAUUAUAUAUACAUUUGUGUCAGUGCCCUCAUGUGCACAUGUAUGCUUCAACUUUACACCACAA